AGGCUCAGGACGAACGCUGGCGGCGUGCCUAAUACAUGCAAGUCGAACGAACUCUGGUAUUGAUUGGUGCUUGCAUCAUGAUUUACAUUUGAGUGAGUGGCGAACUGGUGAGUAACACGUGGGAAACCUGCCCAGAAGCGGGGGAUAACACCUGGAAACAGAUGCUAAUACCGCAUAACAACUUGGACCGCAUGGUCCGAGCUUGAAAGAUGGCUUCGGCUAUCACUUUUGGAUGGUCCCGCGGCGUAUUAGCUAGAUGGUGGGGUAACGGCUCACCAUGGCAAUGAUACGUAGCCGACCUGAGAGGGUAAUCGGCCACAUUGGGACUGAGACACGGCCCAAACUCCUACGGGAGGCAGCAGUAGGGAAUCUUCCACAAUGGACGAAAGUCUGAUGGAGCAACGCCGCGUGAGUGAAGAAGGGUUUCGGCUCGUAAAACUCUGUUGUUAAAGAAGAACAUAUCUGAGAGUAACUGUUCAGGUAUUGACGGUAUUUAACCAGAAAGCCACGGCUAACUACGUGCCAGCAGCCGCGGUAAUACGUAGGUGGCAAGCGUUGUCCGGAUUUAUUGGGCGUAAAGCGAGCGCAGGCGGUUUUUUAAGUCUGAUGUGAAAGCCUUCGGCUCAACCGAAGAAGUGCAUCGGAAACUGGGAAACUUGAGUGCAGAAGAGGACAGUGGAACUCCAUGUGUAGCGGUGAAAUGCGUAGAUAUAUGGAAGAACACCAGUGGCGAAGGCGGCUGUCUGGUCUGUAACUGACGCUGAGGCUCGAAAGUAUGGGUAGCAAACAGGAUUAGAUACCCUGGUAGUCCAUACCGUAAACGAUGAAUGCUAAGUGUUGGAGGGUUUCCGCCCUUCAGUGCUGCAGCUAACGCAUUAAGCAUUCCGCCUGGGGAGUACGGCCGCAAGGCUGAAACUCAAAGGAAUUGACGGGGGCCCGCACAAGCGGUGGAGCAUGUGGUUUAAUUCGAAGCUACGCGAAGAACCUUACCAGGUCUUGACAUACUAUGCAAAUCUAAGAGAUUAGACGUUCCCUUCGGGGACAUGGAUACAGGUGGUGCAUGGUUGUCGUCAGCUCGUGUCGUGAGAUGUUGGGUUAAGUCCCGCAACGAGCGCAACCCUUAUUAUCAGUUGCCAGCAUUAAGUUGGGCACUCUGGUGAGACUGCCGGUGACAAACCGGAGGAAGGUGGGGAUGACGUCAAAUCAUCAUGCCCCUUAUGACCUGGGCUACACACGUGCUACAAUGGAUGGUACAACGAGUUGCGAACUCGCGAGAGUAAGCUAAUCUCUUAAAGCCAUUCUCAGUUCGGAUUGUAGGCUGCAACUCGCCUACAUGAAGUCGGAAUCGCUAGUAAUCGCGGAUCAGCAUGCCGCGGUGAAUACGUUCCCGGGCCUUGUACACACCGCCCGUCACACCAUGAGAGUUUGUAACACCCAAAGUCGGUGGGGUAACCUUUUAGGAACCAGCCGCCUAAUG
rnacentral:rRNA from 1 species